rnacentral:tRNA from 1 species
UAGCUCAAUGGUAGAGCAUUUGCCUAGCAUGCACAAGAUCCUGGAUUCAAUCCCCAG